rnacentral:rRNA from 1 species
GCUAGGGUCAUUUGGAAUGACAUUCUAUUUGUUGUAAAUAUAGUGAGCAGGAAGUUGCAAUCAAUAUCCAUGUGCAUUGAGUCUGCCUUAACACAAAUAGAAGGUAUGAGGAAUUACUUUGGCACUUACAGAAAUGAAGGGUUUGCUUCUGGUGUGAUCAUUGCCAAAGAAAUCGCAUCUAAAACGGGUGUAGAGUCAUCAUUUCUAGUAAAGCGCCAUGCUCCAAGGAAGAGGCAAUUUGAUUAAACUGACUGCGAUGAAGCAAUCUUGCAAGCUCAGAAGGCUUUUGAAGUUUUUUUUUUGUUAUGGUUGAUGUGGCAACCAAUUCAUUGA